AAAGCGAAAGCCAAAUUGGAUUUUGUUAAGGAGGUGCUCCCUUGUCAUUUUCAUCUCCAGAUAGAAGAGCUCUGUUUUCCCAGAAGAUAAAAUAGAAAAGAAGUAGCCCAAGGUGGGUGACUCUGCAAACAGGAUACGGAAUCCGGUUCUCCAGGAACGCAAGCAAACACCAGUCCUGAGGGUCUGCGGUUCGUUUUCCCGGCCCGAGUUCGCUUCAUUGGGCAAAUACUGGAACACCUGCUGGCUGGACUUUGGACACAGCAGACUGACCUCGACCCUCAGGGAGCUGAUCGUCUCUUUGGCGGAAGAGAAGGUAAUUCUACUGAGCAGUCAGAACCACUGAUCCUUAGAAGAAUGCUGAGCUGGAAUUUGUCUGGUGGCUGUUUCUCUGCAUGGUUGAUGGGGAGAACAAACCCAGAGUCUGGCUGCUGGCCACAGGAGAGUCAGAAAUCACCAGAGAGGAAGACGGGGACAAGCUGAGUCCAACUGAGCUGUAAGCCUGUGGCCUGCUCACAUGCCUUCAAGGAAGCAGGAGGGCAGCUGGGGCGGAUGAAUGGGGGGGCGGAGUAGAAUGGUGGGGACGGCCGGCGUGGGCUGUGCCAGCCCAGAGUGGACGGUGCCUCUUUCUCCACCUCAAUUGUACAAAAGUAGGAGACCAGCGCUCUGGCUUGUUGACACAAACACUCCUUUCUCAGCACCACCUUGACUGUCACGGUCAAGAGCUAGGGAUGAUCGCACUGCCCAGCUUCAAAUGGUGGCUGUGACGAACAACUAAUAAAAAAUAAUCAUCAAGCACGUUAAACACAACCCCAUAAAACUUUACCAGUUAAGUCUGAGUAGUUAGGGCAAAGUGAAGCAAGGGGGUCUGUUAGCUCACUCUCCCCAGAAAUAGCCCCCCAUCUGCUAUGGCCACCCUCUGAAGGACUCCAGGAAGGGGCAGUCCUGUCUGGUCACACCUGGAAUCCUACUCCCUGGAGGAUGAGUCUUCAUGGGGUUUGAGAGGAUUAAAUUUCCAGUUCCAGUUAACUUUCUGUCUCUUGGUGAAGACUGUUCUGAGAAUUCUAAUUAAGAAUUUAUUUGUUGAGAGCUAACUAUGGGCCAAGUACUGUGAAGCCUCAAACAUGAAUAUAUGUACAAUCCACUUGGGAAGAUAGCCCACAAUUGUAUGUAAAAGUAAAUACUAGAUAUAAGGCUUAGAUAUCUCCAGACCACACUGGAAGAUCUGGUUUUGUGGUUUGAGGUUCUGUAUCCUGUCCACUUAUUCACACAGCAGGAAUUUG